GCUCACUUUGACAGCACAUAUGCUAAAAUUGGAAUAAUACAGAGAUUAUCAUGGCCCUUGCACAAGGACAACACACAAACUCAAGAAGCAUUCCAUAAUUUU